AAGAUCGGAACAAGAUGAGUGGAAGGUCCAACUGUUUAAAAAAAACUUUUUAUUCUUCCUUUCUCCGAGAGUCGGUAGUUCUACUAGAGGUGAUGAUAGUUUUGUUUUUUGACAACCCUAAUCAAGAUUACAAUUGUCACUACUUUUGUAUAUGUAAUCAUGUCCCACUAUAGACCCUCCAUUUUGUCCCCAACAUUCAUAUUUUUUAUCAUUAUUUUCCCUCUCACCUUGCUCUUUUUUUAGCAUAUGUUUAGGACUUUUUUUUGCUCGAUUUUUCAUUGUCCCUAUUGAAUUGUAUAGUUAUUAUAGCCUAAUUGUUAGAAAACAAAUCAAUGUAUGUAUAUUUAGUUAGGAAAAUUAUCCUUUGGGAUUUAUAUUAUCCCUUCAAUCAUGGGAUUUAUAGGUUUGACUUUUCUAAAUUAGUUUUUUCCUGGAAUAAUAUAUAUAUUGUUGUGUAUCAAUUAUUAUGUUCAAUGAGAAAUCAUCAUUCUCUUAUUUUUCUUGUCAUGGUAUUAGAGCUCUAAGCCUUUUUUAGGGUUCUCUUUCUGUGCAGCCUUCAUUGUUGCAUUGUGUCAACCUUCAUUGUUGCGUUGUCUUCUUCAAACCCAUUUCCAGGGUUAUUUUUUACUCUAGCCUUUCUCUUCCUUAUCUUUCUGCC
rnacentral:lncRNA from 1 species